GUACUGAGACACGGACCAGACUCCUACGGGAGGCAGCAGUGAGGAAUAUUGGACAAUGGGAGCAAUCCUGAUCCAGCCACGCCGCGUGCAGGAAGACUGCCCUAUGGGUUGUAAACUGCUUUUAUACAGGAAGAAAAAGGUGUACGUGUACACUGUUGACGGUACUGUAAGAAUAAGGAUCGGCUAACUCCGUGCCAGCAGCCGCGGUAAUACGGAGGAUCCAAGCGUUAUCCGGAAUCAUUGGGUUUAAAGGGUCCGUAGGCGGGAUAAUAAGUCAGUGGUGAAAGUCUGCAGCUCAACUGUAGAAUUGCCAUUGAUACUGUUGUUCUUGAGUUAUUGUGAAGUGGUUAGAAUGAGUAGUGUAGCGGUGAAAUGCAUAGAUAUUACUCAGAAUACCGAUUGCGAAGGCAGAUCACUAACAAUACACUGACGCUGAUGGACGAAAGCGUAGGUAGCGAACAGGAUUAGAUACCCUGGUAGUCUACGCCGUAAACGAUGGUUACUAGCUGUUCGGGUUAAUUGAGACCUGAGUGGCUAAGCGAAAGUGAUAAGUAACCCACCUGGGGAGUACGUUCGCAAGAAUGAAACUCAAAGGAAUUGACGG
rnacentral:rRNA from 1 species